CUUCCUUCGCUCCUUUCUUCGCCGACCCAAAAGGCGAUUUCUCUUCUUCUCGGGGUUCUCCUCCACGAAACGUCGUCCCCUCAUGGUGGCUCUUGUCGAUGAUGGAAAUCGGCGUCCCCUCUAUCGGUUUCUCUCCUCGACCAAAGAAAACGGCGAGAUCUAUCUCGUGGUGGCUGUCGGAGACGAAGGAGAACGGUGACUGUUUCAAGCGAAUCGAAAGAUCGAUUGAUCAAGAGGCAUGAUCCAGGAUAAACCUUUCUCUUUGUCAGACGAAAACCCCAAGAUUUUUGACAAAGAUGGCAAGAUCAAAGAGGCUUUGUGUCUUUAGAUGGCAAGAUCAAAGAGGCAUGCUCAAGGUUAAGGGAGGAUGAAGAAAGCAGAGAGUGAUGGUUUCUCGGUUACCGUUGCAUUGUCUUGUGAUAGUGGGCGAAACACAUACCGAUUGUUGAUAGAGAGUGGACGGUAAUGAAGACCACAUGACUCUGCUCUAUGACCACACCAAAGAAAGCUACACGAUUGUACAUAAAGGUGACCGAGUAUGUCGGAGGCAAGAGAGAGAGGUGAAGUGGUGAAGAAGAGGAAGUGUGAGGUCUGUGAUUUUAGAAGAAAACGCGAGAGAGGUGAAGUGGUGAGGAGUGGGCUGUCUGUGUAGUCACGAGAAAUGUAUGUCUGUGUGUGUCACGUUAAAUGUUUUUGUCCUUGGAGUCUUGUUUGUGUGUGUCACGAGUUUGAGUUGUUGUUGUUGUCUAUGUGUGUCACGAGUCUGAGUUGUUGUUGUUGUUGUUGUUGUUGUCCGUGUGUGUCACGAGGUCACAAGAUUGUGUAUAAGAACACUUAUAAAUUGGUUUGUAUUCUCACCAUAAUCUCAUGCUCUUCUCUCCAUUUGCUUUUUACUAUAAUCUCAUGUUCUUCUCUCCAAAACAAUUCUCACCAUUCUCUUCUUUCAUAAGAAAACAAUUUUAUCUUGUAACCAAGAAUCUCUUUUUUGAUAAGAAAAGUUGUCCAUCUCUUCUUUCCCGGGAUUGAAUAAAUUCAAUCUUGUAACCCCAAAAAUUUUCCAUCGCUUAUUUCACAGAAGAAAAAUAUAUAUAUUAUCAUCUCAUGGUAUCUUCUUCUCAAAACAAUUUCGAAGAGUCAAUUGACGAAAAUUUCGAUCAAUAUUUUGAUCAACAUUUUGAUCAAACAUUUCAGAAUCUGUUCAAUGAUCAAGGUGAUCAAGAAGAUGAAAGGAGGACAAGAAAAAAACGAGUUUUUAUCGAACGAAACCGUGAAGAAGGACAUCUCCAGUUAUGGAAUGAUUAUUUCAGUGACACUCCCACAUAUCCUGAAAAUCUAUUCAGACGACGAUUUCGAAUGAACAAGCCAUUGUUCAAGCGUAUUGUUGAUCACCUCUCCAAUGAAGUUCAAUUCUUUCGUCAAAAGCAAGACGUUACCGGAAGACUUGGUCUAUCUGCACUUCAAAAGUGUACAGCAGCUAUUUGUGUGUUGGCAUAUGGUUCUGCGCUUGAUGCGGUCGAUGAAUACCUCCGGCUCGGUGCAACCACAGCUCGGUUAUGUGUGGAAAACUUUGUGGAAGCAAUAAUAAAUUUGUUCGGCGAUGAGUACCUAAGAAGACCAACACCGGCUGAUCUUCAGCAUCUUCUUCAUAUUGGAGAGCUUCGUGGAUUUUUCGGAAUGAUAGGAAGCAUUGAUUGUAUGCAUUGGGAGUGGAAGAAUUGUCCCACGGCUUGGAAAGACCAAUAUUCUCGUGGUUCGGGAAAACAGACAAUCAUUUUAGAGGUGGUUGCUUCAUAUGAUAUCUGGAUAUGACAUGCAUUUUUUGGACCUCCAGGUACCUUAAAUGAUAUUAAUGUUCUUGAUCGCUCACCGGCUUUUGAUGACAUAAUAAAUGGUCGAGCCCCGCAAGUGAAUUUCUCGGUCAACGGAAGAGAGUAUCAUUUGGCUUACUAUCUCACCGAUGGUAUUAAUCCAAAAUGGGCAACUUUUAUCCAAUCCAUUUCAAUUCCACAAGGGCCGAAAGCAGUUUUAUUUGCGCAAUGUCAAGAAGCUGUCCAAAAAAAUGUCGAGCGGGCUUUCGGAGUUUUGCAAGCUCGAUUUGCCAUUGUUAAAAAUCUGACACUUUGUUGGGAUAAAGUCAAGAUUGGGAAGAUUAUGAGAGCAUGCAUCAUACUCCAUUAUAUGAUAGUAGAAGACGAACGAGAUGAAUACACUCAAUAUGAUGUCUCAGAUUUCCAACAAGGAGAAGGGAGCGGAAGUUCACAUGUUGUUCUCACCUAUUCUACAGAUAUCCCUACUAAUAUCGCCAACCAGAUGGGUGUUCGAACAAGAAUUCGUGAUAGACAAGCGCAUGAACAACUAAAAUGUGAUUAUGUUUAAAAAUAAAUUUAAUCUUUUUUUAUUGUUAAGAACCUUAAUUAAGAUACCACCAAUAAACUCCUAUAAUUAACUGUCUCUUAGCAAAGUCUCUUAUCAUAAUUUUAAUAAUUAAAAAAUCAUUACAACCUACCUAAGAGACACUAAUGGGUUUCACUAAUAAACAUGCUCUAAGAA